GUCCUUUUGAAUUUAAUUUAAGGUCUGACCUGCCCACUGAAUUUUUGAAGGGCCGCAGUAUUUUGACUGUGCAAAGGUAGCAUAAUCAUUAGUUUUUUAAUUAAAAGCUUGUAUGAAGGGUUGGACGAGGUAAAUUCUGUCUCUAUUUAAUUUAAUUUAGAAUUUAAUUUUUAAGUCAAAAAGCUUAAAUAUUAUUAAAAGACGAGAAGACCCUAUAGAUCUUUAUAUUAAAUUAAUUAAUUUUAUUUAAGAAUUAUUUAUUUUUUAAUAAGUUUAAUAUUUUAUUGGGGUAAUAAAAAGAUUAAUUUAAUUCUUUUUUUAUUUUUACAUUAAUAUAUGAUUAUAUGAUCCAAUUUUAUUGAUUAAAAGAUUAAGUUACCUUAGGGAUAACAGCGUAAUUUUUUUAAAGAGUUCAUAUCGAUAAAAAAGUUUGCGACCUCGAUGUUGGAUUAAAAAUUAUCUUAGGUGCAGAAGUUUAAGGUUUUGGUCUGUUCGACCAUUAAAUUUUU
rnacentral:rRNA from 1 species